rnacentral:rRNA from 1 species
UACGAAGGGUGCAAGCGUUAAUCGGAAUUACUGGGCGUAAAGCGUGCGCAGGCGGUUUUGUAAGACAGAUGUGAAAUCCCCGGGCUUAACCUGGGAACUGCGUUUGUGACUGUAGGACUCGAGUGUGGCAGAGGGGGGUGGAAUUCCACGUGUAGCAGUGGAAUGCGUAGAGAUGUGGAGGAACACCGAUGGCGAAGGCAGCCCCCUGGGUCAACACUGACGCUCAUGCACGAAAGCGUGGGGAGCAAACAGGAUUAGAAACCCGAGUAGU